GAAGGAAAGGGAGAGAAAGAGUGAAAGAAAGAAAGAUCUGUUACUGCUUGGAAAAAUACAACUUUUUUAUCUGUCCUUUGUCCAACAUGGACAGUAUGUUUAACUACUGUUAUUUCUAGACUUGACUGUCAAAUAGUAAAUGGGAUGACUGUGUGAAGAGGGUGGCAUAGAGAUGAUCUUAGUUUUGCCCCAGUCUUUGGUGAUGGGGGACAAUAAUAAAAUGAAACACAUGGAUAAGAAAAAUUAGGUAUUAGAAGAGGUAAUUGAAACCACAUUGGAAGAAAUCUUGGAAGAUUUUGAUGUGAGAAAGCUGAAGUUAGUGGGAAUUAUUAAGGGAUGUUUUCAUGUACAUCCUUUGUAGGAGAAUAAAACAUUCUGAAGGGUAUUAUACUAUUCCCAAACUAAAAAGGACUCACUUUAUGUAGGAUAACAAUGCCUUAUGGGGUGAAAUAGGGAGGUAGGUAUUAGUUGAAUCCUUGAAGAUUUGGAUUGGUAGGAACUACAAGGACCAGUCCUGGUCCCUCAUGUUUAACUUUUUGAAAUUGAAACCUUUUUGUUUACCAGCAUGAAAGCCAGGACUGUGCUGCUGAUGCUGGCUGUUUGCAGAAGACAACAUAAUAGAGAGUUGAGGCUUUUGGGAUUGCUUGGAAGAUCUGGAUCAGCUCAAUGAUGGGAGUGAUAGAAACAGGACAUUAUUAAAUGGUAUAAUCUAUAGAGGGAGUGCCCUUGGGCACUAGUAAGAAAUUCUGAUGUGAUGUGGGAACUUACCACUUGGAAAUAGCUGAGGAGAAGUACUUCAGGCUUACUAGCUUAUAAGAAUGUGGAAUUAAAAAGUAUAAAUGGUAUUGUAAAAUUUAACAAAGAUACUCAAGUGAGAUAGGAUAGGGCAAGAUCAAGUGAAAACACUGGGACAUAAAUAGUUCCAUUCAUCUGAUUGGAGAAGAGGAACUGAAAAUGGGAAUUUGGCAGAGAUAAAGAACAAAGCAGCCUGGUUUACGUGAGGUGGCUUGAAUAACUCAGGGGUUUUUUUUGGAGUUGGGAGCCCUCAAUGUCAUUUUCAGCUCUUGUGCGGCUGCAGACAUAAGGGUUUGUAAGAAGCAUAGGGUAGUCUGGAUGAAGAUUAUCACACUAUUUCAUGAUCAGUUAAAGACUUGGUGGAAGUUGCAUUUUUGUUCAAGAACUGCAGUGAAUGUAAUAAAAAUCAGCAAAGUUUGGAUAUAACCAAACUGGCUGCUUUUCCUUGCUGAAAGAAAACAACCUGAAGGUUAUUCCUUUGUGUGAACCAUUAAAUGUUAAGUUUUAAUCCGAUGUAGAAUAUUUGUUUUGGGUGCUUGAAAGAAUGUCAUAGGAUAUAGGAUAUACUUAGGAUGAGGAAAUCCUACUUUUGUCCAAGGGAACUUGAAGCAGAAUUCUACUUCUUAGAAAGCUGUCCAUGGACUCGGUAUCCAUGAAGCAGGAUAAAGGGGAAAUUCUUCCUCACAUUGAAGCUGCUGACCUGCACAAAGGCAUCAAGUUUGUUGGGUCAGCGAGGGGGAGCAUGAGAAUCACAAUUUCCUACUCUGGGAACCAGCCUGCUCCUUUGGGAGGUGUGUCCCCAUCCCUCACAACUGGGACAAAAUCAAAGUGGUCACAGGAAGGACUGAGCAUAGUCCACCUCAACAGAGCCUCUGUUAAUGGGUCUCUGCUAUCCAAGUAAAUUCUCUGAUCAUUGAGCUGUUGGGUAACUGGGGACUUUCCUUCAACACAGUUUAUCCCCUUUGUUUUUUUCCAGCCAAAACUAUUCAGCAAAUUUGAAGCAAAUAGUUUUGACAUGACUGAAACCACAUUUUUCGGGUUUCCUAUUAAAAGAAAUGUAUAAAUAAUCCAACUCUAACUAUUACCUCUUUUAAAAUCCAUUAUGCUUCUUUUCCACAUAAAUUAAAACUUUUUCUAAAUUAGUAAUUGUAAUUAAAUCUAAUAGUCUGACCCAUCUACCCAGCCAGGGUAGUAAAUUAGGGCUCCUUACUUAUGCUGUUGUGGAGUGCACAAGCUGUUUUAUAGCACUUACACCUAAUGCUUACUUCUUCCUCAUAUUUUCCUUUGUUUUUCAGCCCCUUUCAUCCUAUCAGUUUCAACAGUUGAUCCCUGUAGGAGAGGGAACUCUAUUGCAUUUUCAUGACUUUCUAGUCAACUAAUUUAAAUUAAUAAAAAAACCCCACUUUUUGCAGUGAGCCUAGUGCUAACUUGUUGAUAGUUUAAAUAGAUUAUGCCAUUCCACUAUAUAUAAGCUAAAUUAUUGGAAAGAAAUGAAGGAAUAAAAGGAUAUAACUAGAUGUAGUUUUAAAUAGUGUUAAAAUUAUUCAUUCAGAACAAGGGGGAUUGGAACCUGAUUAUCAUCAAGGUCCUUUGUAACCUAAACCAUUCUAUGAAUCCAUGACUGUAUCAUUUCUGGUCAGCUCUCCUGGACCUUGUAGCAUUCCAGCAUUGCACCUCAUCUUUCCAACUGGUAGUGUCCAAAUACUCUCCACGGCAAGCAGCUCUGAUGCAUUGUUGCAGCAUUUCUCAAGACUGUUGGGUGCCGUGUGUGAUUUGCAGCUGGUCAGGAAUGUGAGCUGGUGGUUCGGUGCUCCAGGAGCUGUGGAAGGAUGGUUGCAGACAUCCCUCUAGUGGCCCCACAGCCUCUAGGACGCCGGUAGCAGUUCUGGCAUCCCUGCGCUCACCAGGGGCAGAUGUGCUCCUCUGUGGAGCUGCGUCCCCUGUGGGGCUGAGGAGCUGUCUGACACACACAGAUAAGAAGAAAUGGAAGAGAAUUUCGCCCUUUUUCUAUUUCACCAAAGUUUCCCUGGAAACUCUGCACCAGUUCAGGACGUCUAGAGUGUUUGCUCCUCACAAGCCUUGAUACUGGAAGGCUGAACCCAUUUCACUGGCCACUGUAAAACACAGGUACUGGGAGGUGAUAUGAAGGAAGGGUUAAUCCUGUCUGUAAGUUUUUUAAAAUGUCAGUUUAUUUAACCUAGAGAGAGAACAAUUUUGUCAUCAUUGAAAAAAAGGCAAAUUAUACUUGAAGAUUAAUUAAAUGUUUCAGAUCUUCUUCUCUCUUUAAUACAAGACCAAUAGAAUACCAAAGGGCAAAAAAAACAAACCCCAAAGUAUAUGUAAAAUAAACAUAAGGAACACUUCUUUGUACAUCUGUACACUUAGGCUUCUCAACUGAUAAUGUCAAUAAGAUGCUAAUUAUGUUUAUGUGUUUGGAACAUUGCAUUUAUUUUGCUUUUUAAUUUGUUAAAGGACGUGCAGUAAAAAUGUGAGCCCUGGGAUAGCACCUUUAAAGACAGUGGAGAGGUCUCCAGCACUGUCUUCAGAAAGGAUGCUGUCCCAGGGCACCCACUGUGAUUACUUCAUGGAGCACAGCAAGUCUGGGAUUGCCCUUCCUGGUGCUGGACAGGCAUCCUGGGGAAGCUGCACACUCAGGAGUCACUGCAGAGCAGAACUGAGCAGAGUCUGCAAGGGAGAUCAAGACAGGCCCCCCUUUUUGCAAAUGGCACAGCAGAGGAAUGAUUUGUUCCAGAGGCAGCAAGCGGCCUGACAGCAGCAGGAUGUAGUGUUGAAAGGAAUAUGGAUUUAUAAGCAACUGAUCCUCAGAGACACAUACACAGAAUACAGACAAUAUCUGGACAACCUUCCAACCCCUUCUUUACAAGCAGUUUAUGCUUUCUCCAUGUAUAAAGGAAGGGUAUUUUACAGACUGGGAAUAAAGUAUGUCUUGAUUGGGAGAUACUUGUUUUAAAGAGUCUAAUCAUCACCUAAUGUCACAAAUUUAAAUCCUUUUGGAAAGAAGUAAGAUUUCUGUGCUUAACCUGCAGUAAACUUUUAAUACAGUCUAGAGUAUUUCAGACUGGGGAAACACAUAAUUAAUCAAUAAAUACACAUUAAUCCACAUUUGCCUCUUGUGCUGCUCAGUGGCUCAGGGUUGUCAAUGUUUUUGAUACUUUCCACACAACUCAAAACUACUGAUCUCUGCAUGGAGACUGACAGUCAAUGUGUCAAUUUUAGCAAUUUGUUUUUAUCCCUUUGUUCAGUUCUUUAAGAUGAAUCUGCAAUUAAGUCUUUUUUAUCUCAAAAGAAAGGCAAUGCUAAUGUUUUCACAGUAUUUUGCUUUCACUUUGCUUUAUUUUAACCUCUAAUCACAGGAAGAAUUAAUCGUAUAUCUCUAUAUUUUCCUCAUUAAUAUUCUCCCAGCAUAGGAUAAUACUGCAUGAUUUCAAAUGUAUUUGUUUUCUCUUCAGCUGAAUAAAUACAGAAAUAAUAUCUUUCAAUAGCUUCUUGUCAGCCUGAAGGCUUGCACAUGAUGCUGGGCAGUGAAGGUUGAAGCUGUUUACAAACCAGGGAGAUUUUUUUGUGAGAAAUUAUUUAUUACACAAAGUAUUACUGGCAUUGAUGGUGAGAACAUUGCUUGGUAAAAAAGGUUCUUUAAUGAUCUGUGGGGAGUUGCAUUAUCAAGUAAAUCACAGUUCUCAGCUCCUGACUGAAUUCUGUGCAGCUUUCUUUAGUGUAGAGGAUGGAGGCACUGAGUGGAUAUUGUCCUGGUUUUGUAGGUGUUUUAGGGAUUGUGAAAAGAUCACAACUAACUUCUGGGAAGCUUGAUUUGAUCCUUGAAUGCCCAGCUAGCAGCAGAGUGUCUGCUGUUGCUCACAAAACUCAAGUAGCUGCAGUACGGUCAGGAAGAAAUGGUCUGAAGGUUCAUGAUUCUCAUCCCAGGAAAAUAGGAGUGAAUUCAUUCAUUUGUUGGUUCAUUCAUUCUACAUCCAAUUUAUUUCCUGGAUACUCCAGAGCAAGAGCAGAGGCAGAGCACAACUUAGCAAUGCGACUGGCAGAAGACAAUCUCAUCAUUUGCAAGGGUGAAUCUUACCAAUAACAUGAGAGAUAAUGAACUUUUGUUCUUUUCAAAAUGGCAUUAAUGCCUCCCCUCAUUCCAGAUGCCACACCAAAAUUUUACCACUUGCAAUAUUUAGUAGAAUCCCCUUUAAGACUUUGUUAUCCAAAUGAAUUCUGAAAUGUUUUUACUGCACUUUGAACUUUUAUUUUCACAUUUGGAAUUUAACACUUUUAAUGUCAAGAUCACAGUUUGUGCACACAAAUGUUAUCCACUGCGCUCCAGGAGAGCUCAAAGGGUUUCACUUAGGACUGGUGCUUAUAGGGCCACAACAGAGUUGGCUUUAGUCACAGUCAUUUUCCAUCCUGGCCGCAAUUCAGGUCAGUAACUUUCUUUGAAAGUUUGAUAACAAAAAUAUUAUUCCACUUAGGUUAUUAUUCAGGCAACAUAAAUAAGCUUCCAAGGCUGUUCAUUAAAACACAGGGGCUUGGUAGACAGCAAAGGUUUCUGGGAGAAGAGAGUGGUUUUGACAAGCUCAAGAGGAGCUCAGCCAGCUGCUGUUUGUCAAGGCUAAGGCCUAAUGAGCAUUUUUGAGAUCAGUGUGGCCAGGAUGGGGGACACAUACUCCCACAGUGGCCUAAUAGAAGUCAAUAAAAAAAGAGUUGCGAUGUACUGAGCUUGGACCUUUGAAUUUGCUGUUACAGCUUCUAGGAUCAUCUUCUGUAACCCCAUCCCUUAAUCCAAAGGCAAUUGCAAACGCCACCUCAUUCAUGGACCACACGGUGAGACGCUUCUGUGAGCCCAUAUUCACAUGGUGGGUGUCUGGAGAGGCCAGCUCCAGGCCCUCACUGUCACCUCCAGGGGGUGGCAGGGAAGGAAGGAACCAGGGAUGCCAUUCAUGGACAGAACCAGGCUGCCCUUCCUCUGCAAACAUCACUAAAUUUCCUCUGAAACACAGAUAGUGCUUUUUGACCAACAAGUAUCCUUCAGUAAACAUCUACAAACAGUGAGAAGCCUCCUCUAGAUUUAUAUAACCUACACAACCAAGUGUAGUUCAUAUGAGUUUAGCCUCAAUGCACUUCUCACAAGUUACCGAGGCGGAUCAGAAGUGGAACCCAAACCAGCAGAUUUGUGUUUGGGAUAAACCCUGCAGCAGUUCCUGUGGUCCCAGCAGGGUGCAGGGCCAGCCCAUGCACCAGCACCACUGAACACAAGGGUUCAGAGCUUGCAGCCAGCCCCAGCACACGGGGAGCACCUCAGGGCCUGGCCAGCAGGUGAACUCUGCCACUGACAAGCUAAAGUGACUUUUGAAAUCAGUGUUAUGCUGAUAAAUGAGGCUCUUCACACACACCAAAAACAUCAUUCAAAAUAAAGAAAAUUGCUGGCUCUCAAAUGCUUUCCAACAGACAAUAAUUUGCAGGAAUCUUCUCUCUUCUUUAAAAAUCAUUAUUUAAAACUGUAGUUCACAUCUGAAAACUGUGACUUCCCACACCAAAUAAGGGCUGAACUGGCAACCUGCAGCGCUUUUCCCAGUAAGAAUCAGCAUAACCAGGCAUUUCCUAAUUAUGGAUCCUGGCUAUUGCUGCUGCUGAUUAAUGUAUUCAGAUGCUUAAGCAAUUCUUAUUGAAGGGAAGACAAAAAGAGUAUUAGAAAUUUUUAAUUUAUUAGAGCCCUCAAAUAGCCAAGAGAGCUUCUUACACAUACAAAUGUACUGAACACGAACAGAUACGGACUCAACAAAAAUAAUAAUCUCUCAGAAAAAUAUCAAGCAUUAUUAUACAAAUCCAGAGUAAGGUCCUGUCACAUUUACAAGUGAGCUUGUAACUUGUGUGUAAGUUCAGCAUCGCUCAGGAGUUUUUCAAGUCCAAGUUGUAUCUUUUCAGCUAGUUAGUGCACUGAGCUUAUACAGUGCAUUGUUUUCCAGCAUCACCAAUGGGUAAUACCGUACAUAACCAAAUAGUAAAAGCAGUGGUUUCAUUGUCAAGUCCAUUCAUUCCACUGAAGGUGCACUAUUAAAACAACAGACGCAUUUAAUAAAAUAAUAAUAGUGUAAUUGUUAUAUUACAGCUUCUUCCAUUUCACUGUGACAAUUGUGUUGCUAAAAAAGUAAUUAUACUGCUAGAAAACCUGUACAAAUGAGUGAGGAAAAACAAUCACUACAGAUUUGUUGAAAAUGAAAAAUCUUGAUGUUUCAUUUAAAUGAAUUGUUCCACUGUUGAAGACAGACUUCUACACUUUUUUAAGAUGGCUAUUUUGUAAAAAUAUACUUCCUUACUCUAUAGAUAAGGUAGGUAAUGGCUGAGUUAGAGCAUAGGUUUAGAUUAAAUAUCAGGAAGAAAUUCUUUAUUAUGAGGCUGGAGAGGCACGGGAACAGGAUGCCAGGAAAAGCUGUGGAUGCCUUAUCCUCUCUGGAAGGCCAGGUUGGAUAGGGCUUUAAGCAACCAGGAUGAGAGGAAACGGCCUCGAGCUGCACCAGGGGAGAUUCAGGCUGGACAAGGAAGAAUUUCUUCACUGAAAGAACUGUGAAGCACUGGAGCAGGCUGCCCAGGGAGGUGGCAGUCACCAUCCCUGGAGGAGUUCAGGGAAUGAUUGCAUCUGACACCCAGUGCUGUGGUCUAGCUGGUGCAGUGGUGUUUGGUCAAAGGCUGGAGUUGAUGGUCUGGGAGGUCUUCCCAACUUAAAUAAUUCUGUGAUGCAGGGGAAGGAAUCCCUGCCCAAAGCAGGGGGUUUGGAACUAUGUGAUCUUUAAGGUCCAUUCCAAGCCUAACCAUUCUAGGAUUUUAUGAUCAUGGAACAAAAACCCACCCCAACAUGAAGCAUUCAGAAUUAGUGUUGGAAAUUUUUACAGGUUUUAUGGCAAACAUUGUCCUGUGCUGUUGAACUAGUGUAGGGAGAAUCAAUGCUUCUCUUUGGCAAAGACCUCCCCACCCACCAAAACAGACCAGCCAUGUAAAACAUCAAAUAGAGAGAUUGAUAUCUGAGAAGAUACCAGUCACUGAAGGAACAGAACAUCCUUCCUCUGCAAAAAACAAAAAGCUUUCUUACUUUUAACCCUCACCCCCAGCGUCACGGGAGGGGCACCUUCCUCAUUUGUACCAUGUUCUAUGUAUUAAUUGUGCUCUCACUUUGCUUUUAUUUAUCACAGCUCAGCUUGUAGUUUGAAUUUCAUAGGCAGAAAAAUAGUAUCCUAUACUGAAGUUCUGUAUUUGCAGCCAGGAGUUGGUAGGACAUACAUAAAAAUUCAAGAUUGCUUUCUGAGACAAGUUUGCACUUGGCAUUUUUUCCACAAUUCACAUUGCGUACUAAUAUUUUGCAGAAUUAGGGAACCUUGUGGAAAACUGAAUUAACUCUCAAUCUCUAUUUAGGUGUAUUUACACUCAUCAGUGUCACCUGUGCCACCUUAUUUGUAUUGUAGAACACAGGGCAUUUAAUUUAACUGCUUCUGUCUAAAAUAGAAGAAUGCUUCUGUCUGUAGAAUUGUGUAGAACACUCAAGGGUUAAUUAGCUUUGAUGCUCUCACUUGUGAGAAGAUUUAUAGUUGUCAAUACUAUGAGAUCAGGAAAACAAG